rnacentral:lncRNA from 1 species
UAGGCCAGCAACUGCAGCUCUGAUUAGACCCCUAGCCUGGGAACUUCCAUAUCCAUGGGUUCAUCCAAAAAAAAAAAAAAUUAGAGCCCCUCUGUGGCUGUGUUGUAGAGCCCCUCUAGUUGGUAAACCCUAAACUCAGCAUCUGGGCCUUAAAGCUAGUUCAUCCCAAUCUAAGUAUUCAGACCUCCCCCCUCCCUAAUUAAGCCAACUCUAAACCAAGCAUCUAGGUCCUCCAAGUUCUGAGCCUCCAUGUCAGGCACCCCUUAACUAGGUACCUCAGUCAUCUGCCUCAGACAUCCCCAUACUAUGCAACUCCAAACUCCAUCAGCCCUAAACCGGGCAGAAGGAAGUCCAGCGACAGUCACCUCAAACCUUGGCAACUAGGCCUUGAGGCUCAGUGAGCCCCCAAAUGUAUAUAAAUAUUAGGAACUCUUAGUAACUCCCACUAAGCAACCAGCACCCUUCAGAUGCCCCCCAAAACUAGGCUUCUGAUACGCAGGAAAGACAGUCCCUCCCCACCUCCCAGGUAUGCAUCUGAAGACACAGUCCCCUGCGUUGCCAAACUUGACAUUGGGGCCCCAGCUGUCAUCCCAAACCAGCAUUUGGACUCCUAGUUGGUCAUGUCAACCUCAGCAUCUGGGCAGCCCAUAAACUGGACAUCUGAGUAGCUGACCCAGAACCUCCCACUGGGCACCAGGAGUUUAUUUUAGGAUGACCUUGAGAGUCAGCUCCACAUGCCUGUUUGAGGGUUCUUCGCUUGAUUUUCCUACUUUUGGGGUCAUGGCCUAUGAGACGCUAAUGAGGGAAGGUGAUGGAUAUGGGGACGGCUCAGAUGUGCAUUUGAAGAGCAGCUGAUGGUAGGGUUCCAGAUGCCAAGGGUUUCUGGCCGAUUCUUUUGGGGGAAAUCAGACUGGGGCCCAGAAGCGCUAAAGAACCUCAUGCCCGGGUUUGGGGAUCCCAGCCCCAAUGCUGCUACCCCAAGGCCAGACUCCUCCUGUGGAUCUUCGCAGGGGUAACCCACUUCUGGGGUGAGUGGUUUGGGGGUCACACUCUUGGCAUCUGUGGUUCCUGAGGGGACUGAGGGGGGCCGGGUGGGGCGGGAGUUGGGGCGCUGCGUCACAGAGCCGGGCUGCGGCCCCCGGGGCUGGCUGUGGCGGGGGUUCCCGCGGGAAGCAGAUCGCAGC